rnacentral:lncRNA from 1 species
GUGCAAUGUUUGGGACAUACUGCACUAAUGGUCUGCACAUUUCUAGAAGCCCUGUGCUCUGCUCAGAAUGGCCACAGGGAGUUAGAGGAUCGUCAUGCUGACUGUAGCACAGAGAGGACUCAGACCCACGUAAAAGAUCAGAGGGAUGUUUAUAAUCACCAAAACUCAAGACAAGGUCUCUGACUUACUGCUAUACCUCGAAGAACCACUUUGGGAGAUGGUCAAUCCUCAUGGUGAAGUUGGAAAUCAGCCUGAGUCUUGGGGAGAAGGUGGGAGACACACAGGGCAGAUGCCGGAUAAGAGAGGAAGUUCGGAGUAAGAAGGCAUCAAAGGAUAAUGGAAGGUAACUUUGUUGAUCUUUCAGGGAAAGACUCAUAUAUCCCACCAAUUACAAAUAAUCGUGCUAAGAAAAAAAAAAAAGUAUCAAGGAUGGCAGUUAUUCCCCAGAUAACCUGCUUUUGGAGACAGAGGCUCUCAAAAUAUC